CCCAGAGCCUGAAGCGGGGCUCGAACUCACGGACCGCGAGAUCGUGACCUGGCUGAAGUCGGACGCUUAACCGACUGCGCCACCCAGGCGCCCCAGCCCCGCCUCUUUAACUAGUUAACUAAAACUCAUCCUUUAUAGUGGCUUUCAAUUUUUGCAACAUGUCCUCAGAGCAGCCUUCCCUGAACUUCAGACCAGGAUUCGGGCUGUCUCAUUUGCUGAUGAAUUCCCAGAGCCUAGCAGAGCAACUUGAACGUGAUGAACACUCGGUGAAGGAACCAACAAGCUCCCACCAUCCAACAUCUUCAACUUCAGAUGCAAGCCGCUCUGUUGCUGUCUCCCUGGAGUUUCGCCAUUGGACAAUUUCCUGUCCAUGGAUCCUCAGGAGAUUAUGCUGAAAUUCCAUUCCCGGUGUCACCAGGAGUGAAACUAACUAAACUGAACCCUAGAGAACGCGGUUUAAUACAUAAGAACACAGCUAAGUAAUUGCUAUGUUGAACAGAAGAGGAAAUCAGUCACUAUAAAACUCAUGCUGUAGGAUAACUCAUUUCCAAGCAAGAUCACAAUGGGAUUCACCUAAAUAGGAUUAAACUUUUAUGAUUUUUUUUUAAAGGGACCCAAUCAAUCAUCAGACUAAGAGAAACAUUUCAUUUCACUUAACUAAAAGGUCAGAACUUUUUGAUGUCCCAGUUACAUAGGCAGUAUGUUAUGCACAAGCUCAUCAGAACAUAAUGGAUGACUUCAGUUAUAUAAAAGUUCAGCCACGUUGAAACUCCUGCUGAACGAUCCCUAGAGGAAAACCCUUUUUGCCACUGACUUUGUAAUCAGAUGUUGUAGCUCUCCACCGGAAUCUUUUGAAUGAUUUCUGAAAAGGAGAGGCCAUCAGUUCAGAUGUGCCAUUUAUUGUCUGUCAGAGAGGAAUUUGCAAAUGCACGUGACCCUCUAGGAAGCAGAGCCCUUCCCUUCUCCGAGAAAGGCGAUGAUAAUUGGACUUUACAUAUGUUUCCCUUUUUGAGAUACAGACCACAGAGUUUGUUUAUGACUAUCUUUAGCACGAACAGGAAACUUGCAGUGAAACUCAAACGGAGGGGAGUAGAGUUAAAAUGUCAUAAAACUCAUGAGAAAUAUGUUCCAAAUGAUCCAGCGGCUUUCAAAAGCCCAUUUUAAACACACAAGAAUGAUGCAGCAUAGUUGUGUUUCCAGUAGCAGGGAGAGGCAUUGCUGUGCCAGCCGUGUGUUCUGGCCCUGUGACCAGCUGCUCAUCAUUUGCCAGAAGAAUAGCUGGGUGGGACCACGGCUGGGCUGUGGAAAAAGUGUUUCUCUGUGAGAAACUUACAAGUUUGUAUGAAGGGCAAGCCAGGAAUGUUGAUCUUUAGCAACACCCUAACCCUACCCUUAACCUCAGCACUAGCUUUGGUUUUUGAAAACAGGAUAGUUCAUAUGAGUAACCUGAGGAGACAGCAUUCGAGGGUGUUCACACCACCCCUUAGGAGGGUACCAGACUUCACUAAUCUCACUUCUGUUGUGAGUCACGUCUGCACCAGUGUGUAUCCCCAUCAGUCAGAAUAGGCCGGGUUCUGCUGUGGCAACAACAACAAAAAAGCUUAAAAUCAACCAAAAGCAUCGGUUUAGGGAAGGCUAGUGGACGGUGAGAAAAUGUUUCUGAGGUAGGGAGAACGUUUCUCUUUGCCUUUGAACCGGAGACAGACAACGGUUGAGAUGAUGGCUGCCCUAUUCACCUGGCUUCCGGAGGCAGAAGAUGAGCGGCAUAGCUAGCCCCAGCUGACUUGCAAAGCAAAUAAACUUUUGGGAUUAUCAACCACUAAGAUUCAGCAGUAGAAUCUGGCUUAUCCUGACUAAUGCCGUAUCUACCGCAGUUUUACAGAUGAACAAACAAAUGCUCAGGCAGGUUAACUAGAUGACUCUAGUCAAGGGCCAGGGAAACCAUGUAUGAGCUCUAUUAACAUGUCAGACUGACUCUCAUUUGUCUCUGGCAGAGCCAUGAAAGACCUCAAUUUUUCCAUCGACUGCUGAGUCUUCAGGCUGAUGAAGUUAUUCUGAUCCCAUAUGCCCCGGGGAAUAAGCUUGGUUGUUUUCAAGGAGAGCAAAAUUGACUUUUUAUUUAUUUAUUUAUUUGGUUUAGGAUCACAGGUAGGGUGACCAACCAUCCCACUUUGCCCGGGACUGGGCGAUUCCCCAGGAUACAGGACUGUCAGGGAAGCCAGGAAAGUCCCAGGCUAACUGGGAUGAGUGGAUCAUCCUCACUAUGGAGGUGAUAUCUCCUAGCAACACUCCAUAAUCACAUAGCAUAAACUCCCACUGCAGCUGAUAAUUCUUUUCAUCAUAAUAUUUAUUACAUCAUGUUGUAAAUGAUUCAGACUGUUCUGUGUCUAACUGCCCACAAGACCCUGAGGACUGUUUCUUGUCCAUUUUAUAGUGCCAAUACCUUGUACAGUGUUUGCCACUUCAAAAGAGCACAGUAAACAUUUGUUGCACAGAUGAAUGGAUGCCAUCUCUCUGUUGUUUUUCAUUCCCAAAACUGGUGUGGUAUGAUUGGCUUCUUCUCUUUUUGAGGAUCAGUUCUGCCUAGAAACUCGUUUAACUCUAAAGAAAGGUAGGAAUCUUCCUUGAUGGCAGCUACAAGCUUGCAUAAAGUUUUCAGUGUGACCCACAGUGUAAAAUUACAUAAACUUAGCAUUGAGUUUCAGCAUAAACCAAUUCCUUAUUAGACUGACUGAAUAAUUGAAUCUCCUUGUUUGGCAUUUGUUUAAAGACAGAAGGUCAUGGGACAAAUGGUGGGUAUUUGAGGCUGUGGAAACAUAUGUUAUCAAUUUGGUUUAGCUGUUUCUGGUAACUGGGAUUAUUGUGACUGAAGACCCAGGCCUCCCAAGUCUGCCCUCCACCCUUGGGAAUGCACAACAACAUGCCCUCCCAAACCAGAGGCAGGAAGAAGAUGUCCAUGGGCAUAUCUCAUGGGUGGACUGCACUCAUGCCCAGUUAAGGACAGCAAACAGUGGAUUGAGAAACUUGCUCGGGAGAAUUACAUCCAGGCCCCAUCCAGCUGGAUUUUUUCAUAACAGGCCUGUGAGGUGUGCUGAGAAAGUGUGUGGUAGUUCUUGACUCCUCUUACAAACUAAAACCUCAGAAUUCUUUGUUUUCAUUAAUCACCCAGAGUGAGUCUCCCUAUGUGACUAAGCUUUUCUGAGAAGUGAUUUAAAUCCUAUAAAGAGGCCCUGAAUUGUGGGAGGAUCACCAAGCUUGUAUUAAAAAGACUUAAAAAAAAAACAACCUCCCAUCCUCAGUUUCCUCAUCUGUAAAAUGGGUUUAAUAACAUCUACCUUUCUUACUGGAUAAGAUAGCUUAUGAGGUCAAAGGAGAUGAAGUCAGUGAAAAUAGUCUGAUGAUUGUAAAAUGCAGAAUGAAUAUAAUACAUAUAUUUCCUACUUGUAUUUAUUUACCUAUUUCUUUUCAUCCUAUAACAAAACUUACUAAGCUUGUCUUCUGCUUUAGAGCUUCCUUUCACUUAUCCUAAUAUUUUCCUCAUCACAGGAAGGGAAUAAGCAUUUGCCAUGUGUUUUGUAUGUACAUUCUUUUCAUAAUGGUACUUAUGGCACAGGUACCGUUAUCUUAUUUGUAUGUACAAGUUCUAGUUCAUAGUAGUUCAUGUCCACGAUCAUGCAGCUAGACCUAAGGUUUAAACUCAGGUGUCCCUAUCUCAUUGCCCAAGUGAAAUUUCUAUCACAUCAUUCUACCUUCCAAGUUUUAACGAGUUUCCCUCCUUUGUUUCUGUUGUAUCUUUGACUUGGUAUACAAGUUCACCUUGGGCUUGAUCACAAUAUUCUGAUUUUCUAAAUUAUAAUCAUAUUUUCUCGUCUUUUGUCACUCCUGGACUGAAAUGUCCUACUUACUCUGGCAGUCCUCUCCAUUUCCUGGAUCUUUGUACUUGCUUUUAUUUGGAUAUUUCUUGAGCUUAUAACAGCUAAAGCCGCAUGUAAUAUUACAGG